GGAGACAUGCCAAAAGUUUCCGCUGUGCGUGUAGAUUGCGGUAGCUAGGAUAGAUACUGCAUGCUCGGGCUCGUGUUGAAGAUCGGAAAGGAUACGGUGCCUAGGUUUGCAGGCUCGCUGGAAAAACGGAACGGGCUCGCCUCAUGCGCUUCCGCGCACUCGGCUCGCGGGAUCAAUCUGGGCGGGAAGCGUACCGCUGCUACGCUAACGGACAUACGGCUGCCACAUAGUUUGGUUCAAAUAUAUUGGAGGUCCUGAUUUUUUUUUAUCAAUGUGCCAACAUAUUUCAAGAUCUUUCCCAUCUCAAAGUCUCCUGAUUUUUUUUAUUAUUGUGCCAACAUAUUUCCAAAUCUUUCACAUCUCAAAGUCAAAUCUAUGUUUACUGUUUGCGUGCAAACCUGACAUCUUUUUAUUAAUAUUUCUUUUUGACUAAAAUAUAUUGGAGGUCCUGAUUUUUUUUAUAAAUGUGCCAACAUAUUUCCAGAUCUUUCCCGUCUCAAAGUCUCCUGAUUUUUUUAUUAAUAUGCCAACAUAUUUCCAAAUCUUUCACGUCUAAAAGUCAAAUCUAUGUUUACUGUUUCAAAAGAGGUUCUAACCUCGUUCGAGUUCAUCUAACUAGCUAGCGUAGCAUGUUUACCUUUGCCAUGUUGUCGGGGGUCACACUUGGCGGGAGUUCUCCCGUUGCGGUUGUUAUAUUUAGCCAGAAAAAAACUUAUAAAGGGUUUCUCGUUUCUCAUACUCCGUAUAAGAGAUAAGCGUCGUUGUUGUACAUGAAAAGGAACAAUAAUGACUUCUGUUGUGUUGUAAAGAAUUAUGUUGUCAAUCUAAUUAUUGUACCUGUGUGAUCGUGCGUGAUUAACUCAUUCGACUCCAAUUCUAUGUACAGAGGUUGUACAACAAGAACCGCUGUCCAAAUAAUAGAUCAGUUAGAUAUCAUUCAAAGAAAAAACUCCUAUCUUCUCUCUAAGUAACAUUCACUCCAUCUUUAUGAUCCAGGGAGCAGACAAAUGAGAAUCACCCCCAACUUUACCACGCUCUCCACGUACUCCCUCCGAUUUAUAUUACUUGUCUCAAAUUUGCACAAAUAUGGAUGUA
rnacentral:lncRNA from 1 species